AUUGAACGCUGGCGGCAGGCCUAACACAUGCAAGUCGAGCGGUAACAGAGAGUAGCUUGCUACUCUGCUGACGAGCGGCGGACGGGUGAGUAAUGCUUGGGAAUGUACCUUAUGGUGGGGGACAACAGUUGGAAACGACUGCUAAUACCGCAUAAUGUCUUCGGACCAAAGCGGGGGACCUUCGGGCCUCGCGCCAUAAGAUCAGCCCAAGUGGGAUUAGCUAGUUGGUGAGGUAAUGGCUCACCAAGGCGACGAUCCCUAGCUGGUUUGAGAGGAUGAUCAGCCACACUGGGACUGAGACACGGCCCAGACUCCUACGGGAGGCAGCAGUGGGGAAUAUUGCACAAUGGGCGCAAGCCUGAUGCAGCCAUGCCGCGUGUGUGAAGAAGGCCUUCGGGUUGUAAAGCACUUUCAGUAAGGAGGAAAGGUUGGAUGUUAAUAGCAUUCAGCUGUGACGUUACUUACAGAAGAAGCACCGCUAACU
rnacentral:rRNA from 1 species